rnacentral:rRNA from 1 species
CGGCGGACGGGUGAGUAACACGUGGAUAACCUACCUAUAAGACUGGGAUAACUUCGGGAAACCGGAGCUAAUACCGGAUAAUAUAUUGAACCGCAUGGUUCAAUGGUGAAAGACGGUUUUGCCGUCACUUAUAGAUGGAUCCGCGCCGCAUUAGCUAGUUGGUAAGGUAACGGCUUACCAAGGCAACGAUGCGUAGCCGACCUGAGAGGGUGAUCGGCCACACUGGAACUGAGACACGGUCCAGACUCCUACGGGAGGCAGCAGUA